rnacentral:rRNA from 1 species
CGGCAGGCCUAACACAUGCAAGUCGAGGGGUAACAGAGAGAAGCUUGCUUUUCUGCUGACGACCGGCGCACGGGUGCGUAACGCGUAUACAAUCUGCCUUAUACAGAGGGAUAGCCUUUAGAAAUGAAGAUUAAUACCUUAUAGUCUAUUUUUAUAGCAUUAUAUAAAUAGUAAAGCUUCGGUGGUAUAAGAUGAGUAUGCGUCCUAUUAGUUAGUUGGUAAGGUAACGGCUUACCAAGACAACGAUAGGUAGGGGCCCUGAGAGGGGGAUCCCCCACACUGGUACUGAGACACGGACCAGACUCCUACGGGAGGCAGCAGUGAGGAAUAUUGGACAAUGGAGGCAACUCUGAUCCAGCCAUGCCGCGUGCAGGAUGACGGCCCUAUGGGUUGUAAACUGCUUUUAUAUAGGAAGAAACCUUUUCACGUGUGAGAAGCUGACGGUACUAUAAGAAUAAGGACCGGCUAACUCCG